rnacentral:rRNA from 1 species
UGGGUUUAAAGGGUGCGUAGGCGGUUUGUUAAGUMGCGGUGAAAUCUAGAGGCUCAACCUCGAAACUGCCGUUGAAACUGGCGAACUUGAGUGUAGAUGAGGUAGGCGGAAUUCGUGGUGUAGCGGUGAAAUGCAUAGAUAUCACGAGGAACUCCAAUUGCGAAGGCAGCUUACUAAGGUACAACUGACGCUGAAGCACGAAAGCGUGGGUAUCAAACAGGAUUAGAUACCCUGGUAGUCCACGCAGUAAACGAUGAUAACUGGGCGUAUGCGAUAUACAGUAUGCUCCUAAGCGAAAGCGUUAAGUUAUCCACCUGGGGAGUACGCCGGCAACGGUGAAACUCAAAGGAAUUGACGGGGGCCCGCACAAGCGGAGGAACAUGUGGUUUAAUUCGAUGAUACGCGAGGAACCUUACCCGGGAUUGAAAUGUAGAUGACCGCUCCUGAAAGGGAGUUUUCCUUCGGGACAUCUAUGUAGGUGCUGCAUGGUUGUCGUCAGCUCGUGUCGUGAGAAG